GGAUGAUGGCAUGGGCGGGAGGAGGAAGAAGGGCAUCAAGGAUAAGAUCAAGGAGAAGCUUCCGGGUGGCCACGGUGACCAGCAGCAGACCGCUGGCACCUACGGGCAGCAGGGUCACACAGGAAUGACCGGCACUGGGGCGCAUGGCACCACGGCCACUGGCGGCACCUACGGGCAGCAGGGAGACACCGGAAUGACCGGCACGGGGACGCACGGCACCGACGGCGCCGGCGAGAAGAAAGGCAUCAUGGACAAGAUCAAGGAGAAGCUGCCCGGACAGCACUGAGCCCGUCCCACGGCAGCUACUUGAGAGUUGAGGUGCCGAUCUGGCCACCUUUGCAGAAUAAUAAGAUGGAGAUGCAGUAAAACAUCCCGAAAUAAAGUGAGCUAGCUCACUUGUAAUAUCUGAGUUCUGAGUUUGCUGCACUAGAAUUUGGGUUGCUUGUAUGUGCCCGGGACGUUUUGUACUCUGUACUUCGAUGUGUGAUUUUUUUUUGGUUUCACUGUGUAUGUAUGGGGAUGUGUAUCGUGGUAUAAUACAAUAUAUUUUGCCCUUUUACUUGAGCAACUUUUGAAAAUUUCUAGGCAAUUUUUGGAAGUAUCGAAAAAUAAGGCACACCAAAAAUACACAUACAGAUCUUGAAUUUACCAACUCAGAGGAUGUCGCAUGCGCUGUGGAUCGUUAAUGAACGGCACUGUCGGAGAUCAACAAAACAGAGUGCAUAGCGACCAAAGGAAAAUCCGCACCACCGAAAGUUUUCUUCUAUGCUCGAGCUCACAUGCACACUGAUGAAUAGUAAAAUAUAAAUAAAUAAAUUUUAAAGAUCUGAUUUUUUUUACACACACCGAUGAAUGUUUUACCUACCUGCAAAGUUUUCAUAAUGGAUUGAUAUUUGUGGUGGUCAGGGCAAUAAAAACAAAAUCAAUGCUUCAAAAUUAGUCUUUUUGGAGCAUUUGAUUUUUCGUUUUGCCCAGAGCUCCACGAAAGUGAUUUCAUCACGAAAGUUUGCAUGCAUGCAAAACAGUUAUUAGUGUUUAUUAAAAACGGACAUAAUUGUUUGAUUUUUCUUUGAUUUUACUGUUCAUAUGGGUGCAUAUAAGCUCGGGAUUAGAAGCUCCAUGUUCACCCACCAUUUAAUUGAUUCAUACACAAACUUUUUUUCUCGAAUACAUAUGAAUGUGCGUGCUUUAUAUUAAAGAAGAGAGGGGGGCGGCAAAGAGCCCUUCCACGACGGGUUUAGUAGUUCUUACAUACAGCCAACUCCAUGCCCACUCCACGUCUAAGUCAAUCUAUUGCUAACUCCUCGCGUCACUACCCACCGUUAGAGCUACUAAGAAACUAUCAAUGUCCGUCUUGAUAAUGCCCGCCGUCUUCCAUGAUCUACGCUCAACCUCUAUUCUAUGAAUUAUGCUUUUCAAAGACAGUGUGGCGCCGUCGAAUACGAUCGCAUUGCGGUGCUUCCAUUCAAGAACAACAAAACGAUCCACUAAUCUCUAGAUUAAGAGUAUGCAUCCCCAUAAGUUCAUCCACCAUGCAACUCAACAAAAAGCUCGUCUCGCUACACCUCCAACAUGCAACAACGUGCAUCACUGUCCACCCUAUACGCCUCAGAAGCGACAGUGCUCCAACACCCCUUGAGAUAUUAUGUGCCCCGAUCUACAUCCUCCCUCCCCGAGGCGCUCCCGCGGGCGCCCCGGGAGAAAACCCUAGCGCCGCCCCCUUCGCCUCAACCUCCUCCCUCGCUGCCGCCUGGGGCGUCACCGGCGAAAGGCCGUGUGGCGUUGGUCGCGGCGGGGCGGCUCUCUCCCGCACGUAGUUGGGACUCCGCGGGGCGUUCCCAUCUGCCUGGUGGUGCCGGGCGUCGGGCCGGCCCUGCCUCCGCUCCUUCUCCCCUCCCAGCAUCCCUCGCUGGCGCCGCCUCAUCCCCUCUGUCGGUGUCAAAACCGGCGGAUCUCGGGUAGGGGGUCCCGAACUGUGCGUCUAAGGUCGAUUGUUUGCAGGAGACGGGGGACACGAUGUUUACCCAGGUUCAGGCCCUCUUUAUGGAGGUAAUACCCUACUUCCUGCUUGAUUGAUCUUGAUGAAUAUGAGUAUUACAAGAGUUGAUCUACCACGAGAUCAUAAUGGCUAAACCCUAGAAGUCUAGCCUGGAUGACUAAGGUAAUGAGUCUCCUCCUAUCCGGACUACGCUCUCCGGUUUAUAUAGGCACCGGAGAGAUCUAGGGUUACAUGGAGUCGGUUACAUAGAAAGGAAUCUACACGAUUGAUCGCCACGCUUGCCUUCCACGCCAAGGAGAGUCCUCUCCGGACACGGGAGCCGUCUUCGGUCUUCGUAUCUGUACAGCCCAUCAGUCCGGCCCACGGAUAACAGGCCGGACGCCCGAGGACCCCUUAGUCCAGGACUCCCUCAGUAGCCCCUGAACCUGACUUCAAUGACGAGGAGUCCGGCGCGCAGAUCUGUCUUCGGCAUUGCAAGGCGGAUUCCCUUCUAUCCGGACCCCAAGGUAAUCUUCAGAUGUAACAAUUGUAUCCGGACCUGUAUACAUAACUGCAGAGGAUAUAUAAUAUUUCACGAGUCCGAUCCGCUGGCAACUUUUCGGUAAUAUGACGUCACACCUGCUCGGCCAUUAUUUUCGAAUCGUUCUGGCUGGCCCGCCGUCCCACGUUUCGAGACGUGGUUCUAUUGGCACGUCUUAUCCAAGCGGCGAUCAUGUCCUUCUUUUAAGGGAUUCUUAUCAACCCAGACAUGGGUAAUCCAACCGUCACUUGGGCACAACUGCUUGGGAAUGGGCAAGUUUUGAGGCCCAGGAGGAGACGUUCGAUAUUUGCGGUCUUUAUAUAGGGGUACAGACCCGUCUUUUUCUUUCACGCUUGCUUCUCCCUCAACCCCCGCUACCUCGAGUUCCAACACCCGGGUUUCAAUCUCCACAAGCUCCAAUCAUGUCCGGAUCCAACCGUCAAGGCCGGUGGGUGGCUUCUUCUAUCACAGAGGGAGAGAUCGCAAAGCUUCGGGCGGCGAGGUACUUGACCGCGGAAAUCCUUCAUCGGCUUCCUGCAGAGGGGUAGGUUAUUCCCACUCCCAGAUCCAGCGAGAGGGUCGUGUUCGUGUCCCACUUCCUACGCGGGUUAGGGUUUGCACUUAACCCCUUUGUCCGGGGGCUCAUGUUCUAUUAUGGGCUAGAUUUUCAUGAUCUGGCCCCGCACUCAAGCCUUCCUCCGAACUCCUCCGCACUUCGGCUUGUGGCUCAAGACCUUCAAGGUGGAGCCGCUAGUGACAGAGGGGGAGCAAGUAGAGUGCGGCGGCGCCGUAGUGAGCAAGCUUGCUAGCGCUGUUUGGCUGAAAGGAUCCUUUGGCAAGUCUUCAGAUCUGUGGCAGCAGGGGUGGUUCUACAUCAUCGAACCCCGUGGCUCCAAGUGGGCAGCUGCACCCGCAUUUCGAUCCAGCCCCCCAACUCAGCCUGCGUCGUGGAUCAAUAAGGGGUUGGACUGGAGAGCAACGGACGAGGUGCAGACUUUGCAAAGUCGCAUCCGAAACCUCAUUGAGAGGGACAUCAACAUCGUCAACGUUGUCCAAGUAAUGCUGGACCGCCGGACCCUACCGUUCCCGUGAGGGCCACUCCGCACGUGGGAGUUCAAUCCGGAAGGGCCGCGGACUCUUCAGCACUUCUUCGGCACUACACACGAAGGAAUGUGGAGAUUAUUCUUCGGGAAACGAAAACAAUGGCCGGACACCACCGAAGAUAUCGGCCUUGACUGCAGCCAUCCGGACACCCCGGUAAGUACCCGUUUGCCGAACACCUCAUAAUCAGAUACCCAUUGAUAAGAUACUGACUGAAUCAUCCUUUUUCAGGGCUGGAUAAAGAAAGUGGAACGGAUUAGGUGUCCGGCUCCCCUUCCCGAAGACUCAGCUACUCCUAUGUUAACAAGGAUGCUGGCCUCGACACCGUAUCAGGCGCCGGCGAGGGGGGUAAAGAGGAGAGUAAAAAGACCCAAGAUGACCUUCGUUCCGGAGGUAAGUCAGAUACUGAGUCGGGAGAAAUCGACCUUUCCUCGCCUGAAGACAGAGGCAAAAAAGGACCCAGCAUCCCUUCUCCGAGUAGGAGGAAAAGGGCCGCCUCUGAAGAUUGGGAGGGGCGGUCUCCCAAGAAGGGCAAGAUGCCACCGUUGAGAGGCUUGGGCUUGGAAAGCGACGCCGUCGAACGGCUCCAACAAGGGGACAAGCCCUCGGCCAAACCGUAAGUGAAUCCGGAGUACUUUGACAAUGUCCCGCUCCGUCGCUAUCGCCGAAGAUAUACGUGACGCGUUCAUGCAUUUUUACAGGUCGGCACAGAGUUUUUCUGGGCAAUCCUCUUCUUCGGGAAGUCUCCUCCCAGAGAUGAUGGAGAGCGAGAUGCCUCCUCCAACCUCCUCUCCCAGUAAGGCGGAUGACUCUGAAGUGUCAUCGCGGAGGGUCCCGGUUAGUCAACAGGUUACACCGGGGAAAGAAGAGGUAGUAACCGAAGGUGGAUCUCCAACCAUCCGGGAUUCUGGGGCUGAUGAUAACAAAGGCCCCGGACUGUCUGGCCCGCAGCCGACAGCGAUUCUGGAGAUGGGUGAACAGAUUCCUUCAAAGGAUGGUCGGGCUUCUAGAGCGGCUUCCGAAGACCCAGAGACUCCGGAUAUAUUGCGGGACAUGUUGGGAAAAGCAUCUGUCUCGGGAGAGCAGCGUACCUUGAUGGGUACAUUGGUUGAGAAGACUUUGUCCGCGAAGAGCGGUUUGAAUGAAGCCUUCAUGAGCCUGCUAAAAGGCUUCGAGGUUUGUGAUCAAAUAUGUUUUAUUUGCAAAGAUGUGCCUGUGUAUAGGUAGUAGCCCCUGAGACUCGGGUUGGCUUCCACUGGGAAGCAACCGGAGGAUCAAAAAAAUGAUCGUUUGAGGACUAACCUGAUAAACUUGAACACAGGCUGCUUCCCCUUUGGCCACUUCCUGGACUACGGAGAUUGUCGAGCUGCAGCGGAAGCUUGAUGUGGCAGGGGAUGAUCUUGCAUUAAUCAAUAUGCGUCUUGACGAGUCGCAAGGUAUGUACUCGGGGUAAUCCCCAGACAUUUUAUGUGGUAUAAGCAUGAUGCUGAAAUCUGAAUGCUGGAAUAUGUGUGGCUGCAGAUGGUGCUGCCGCCAUUGAAGUUCUUCGAGCGGAGCUGGCUCGGGCCAAGGAGCAGGCCCGACAUAGCGAUGCUGCUGCCGAAAAGGCAUCGGCUGAGCUAAAAGCUGAACAAGCUGCACGGCGCCAAGAUGAGGAGAAGAUAUCCACGGUGGCGCUCGAACUGGAAAAUGCUACUGGCCGCUGCAAAUUUCUGGAGAAGGAGAAUAAAGCCUUAACGGCUGAACUGGACAAGGCCUUACUAGAGGAGAGGGAAGCUCAAUCGGAAUCCAGAGCAACCCUUGAGGAUGUUCGGCAGGCUAGGGAGAUUGUGGCUGGGAAGCCCUUUCUGCUGCAAACUAAGUUCGGUGACCCGAACUAUGCUCAGCUUAACGAAGUGUCGAGUUCUCCGGACGAGUUCUUGAACUUGUCGAAGAGUUCUUCCGAUGCGGCGCAAUAUUACCAAGUGCGAGAUGGGUAUGCAACGGAGAAGCUUUUUUGGUCGCAGUUUGGCACAUCAAAGCGCCCCCUGUUGCUCAAUGAACAGAUGUCCCAAUGGGCCGAACUUCAUCGGAUAUCCAGUGCUGCCAUGAAGGAUGUCAUAAUCCGGUUGUGGCCAACUGAGCCUAUUCCGGAUAGCUACUUUGGUUUGGUACAAAGACUUGUUGACGCGGUGCUGCAAAUCGAUGCUGUGAAGCGGUCAGCGUGCAUUGAAGGUGCACGGAUGGCCUUUGCCCGAGUCAAGACAUUCUGAGGAAAGAUGAAGGCCAUCGAUGUUGCGGCGAAGAGUCCACCCAAAGGCAAGGACCGUCCAGAACCGGAACAUUAUUUUGAAGAUGUCCUAGAGGCCGCCCGCUUCAUAGAGGGCCAGUGCUCGAAAGACAUAAUAUUUGAGUGAGGUGUAUCAAAAUUGUAGAAGAAAAAUUUAUAGUUAAUCUAUUUUCAUGUUUUGCUCGAAAGCUUGAAUUCCUCGUGUGUGGCCGUGUUAAUAUAAUCUGAAAGUUUUCCAGUCGUCAGCUUCAGCCCCCUUGUAGGAAGUACGGGGGUGUUCGGAAAGCAUUUAAUCACUCUUUAUCCAACGUCUUGGUCCAUGAAGGAGGUGAUAAUGCGGCGAACUAGGCAAUCGGACUAUAAGGCAUUAACACUUUCACUUAGCCAUAGGAGUUUUAUGGUGGGACUACGACAUAGCCCCUCGUAUGUAUGCGGCGUAUGAUGCCUUACAUAUUUGAUCUGAAACAGAUCCCUCGUGUGACAGGAGAAUCGCUAAGGAUUCCAAGAAGUCAUCAAGUGGUUGACCAGCUCUCGCCGCAUCAUGACAGUCAGUUUUCGGCUUUCUCUACCGAGGUCCUCAUCCGGUUUAGACCAGGGCACAAUCGCAGUAGUUCUCCCUUUACUACCCUAGCCGAUAGAGCGGAACGUAGGGUAGCAAGCACAGGAGCCGGGCAACCCAACUAUUGACCCAAGACAAUGAUUCGGAGCUGAUGCAUAUAAGGCCAAACUUGCGACGCCGAAGUACACUAUAGAGUUGUUCAGACUUUUACUGGCGACUCAUUUGUUCCCACACCGAGCCCCUGGCAUGUUAUGCCAAGGUAUUUCUGUGAAAUAACUGUAGGAGCCAUAUUUGUUGGAGAAACAACACGGAUUAUUAGUUCGGAUACUGUUUACUAGGACUGAGCGAUAUGCCAAUGAUCACUUAUGAUAUAUAAAAGCCAUCCUCCCGGCUAUUUGACAUGCUCGGGGUUGGAGGCGGAGGAACGGGCAUAGUACAGGCUCAAAAAAUAGAGAAUGCGGUCUACAAAAAGUUAUUUUGGACCUCCUGUCGCACGUCUGCGCCGCCAGUCGUCGGUGGGGGGAAUCCUUUAUGGAAAUGGCCCCGUAGGUGAGUGUACGGAUCCGGACUCCGAUAGAGCCAGUUUCAGAUGUUUAUCCUGUUCGUCACCUAUUUUUAAAAGGAUAGCGAAGGAAGAAAUAAAAAGAUAAUAAAUAAUAAUAAUAAAAAGUUAUUGGAGUGCUUGCAGGUUUGUCCGUAUUGUGAUUCCGCCAAUACCCAUGGUAUCUUGAUCCCCGGGUAUGCGUAGUACAAACUUUGUAGGUGCACGGAGUGGGCCGCGGAAGCCGGGUUGCUAUUUCCGUUCUAGGAGUAGUUGAUCCCCGGGUGGAGAUUGCUUCUAACCCCCGGAGUUUCGUUGGCGAACCUUUCCGUCAUUCCUGUCGCCUGGCGGCUUCUUCCCCUUCUGCUCGGCGUUGAGCUUGCCGGCUUGUUUGAAGACCCUGCAGUUUCUGUUAGUAUGAUUAGCUGGUUUGUCGGGGUGGCCGUGAAUCUGGCAGGGUCGGUCCAAUAUCAUGUCCAGGUUGGAUGGUUCGUCUUGUUUCGCCUUGAAUGGCUUCUCCCGUUGACCGGGCUUGGGAUUGCUGAAUCCGGCGUUGACCGCCGUGUCGCGUGAUCUUUCAUUAUCAUUGCGACUGUUUUUUUGCUUCGUCGUGGCUUGCCGUUGCCGUCUCGGAUUUCGGAAAUGCCCGGGUCGUUGGCGCUAUCGCUUCUACGAGCGAGUGAUACGUCUCCAACGUAUCUAUAAUUUUUUAUUGUUCCAUGCUAUAUUAUAUUCUGUUUUGGACAUUAUUGAGCUUUAUUAUACACUUUUAUAUUAUUUUUGGGACUAACCUAUUAACCGGAGGCCCAGCCUAGAAUUGUUGUUUUUUUGCCUAUUUCAGAGUUUCACAGAAAAAGAAUAUCAAACGGAGUCCAAACAGAAUGAAACCUUCGGGAACGUGAUUUUCGGAACGAACGUGAUCCAGAGGACUUGGACCCUACGUCAAGACAUCAACCAGGAAGGCACGAUGUAGGGGGGCACGCCUACCCCCUCAGGGCGCGCCCUCCACCCUCGUGGGCCCCACGUUGCUCCACCGACGUACUUCUUCCUCCUAUAUAUACCUAAGUACCGCCAAACUACCAGAUACGGAGCCAAAAACCUAAUUCCACCGCCGCAACAUUCUGUACCCGUGAGAUCGCAUCUUGGGGCCUGUUCCGGAGCUCCGCCGGAGGGGGCAUCUAUCACGGAGGGCUUCUACAUCAACACCAUAGCCUCUCCGAUGAAGUGUGAGUAGUUUACCUCAGACCUUCGGGUCCAUAGUUAUUAGCUAGAUGGCUUCUUCUCUCUUUUUGGAUCUCAAUACAAUGUUCUCCCCCUCUCUUGUGGAGAUCUAUUCGAUGUAAUCUUGUUUUGCGGUGUGUUUGUUGAGACCGAUGAAUUGUGGGUUUAUGAUCAAGUUUAUCUAUGAACAAUAUUUGAAUCUUCUCUGAAUUCUUUUAUGUAUGAUUGGUUAUCUUUGCAAGUCUCUUCGAAUUAUCAGUUUGGUUUGGCCUACUAGAUUGAUCUUUCUUGCAAUGGGAGAAGUGCUUAGCUUUGGGUUCAAUCUUGUGGUGUCCUUUCCCAGUAACAGUAGGGGCAGCAAGGCACGUAUUGUAUUGUUGCCAUCGAGGAUAACAAGAUGGGGUUUAGAUCAUAUUGCCUGAGUUUAUCCCUCUACAUCAUGUCAUCUUGCUUAAAGCGUUACUCUGUUCUUAUGAACUUAAUACUCUAGAUGCAUGCUGGAUAGCGGUCGAUGUGUGGAGUAAUAGUAGUAGAUGCAGGCAAGAGUCGGUCUACUUGUCUCGGACGUGAUGCCUAUAUACAUGAUCAUACCUGGAUAUUCUAAUUACUAUGCUCAAUUCUGUCAAUUGCUCAACAGUAAUUUGUUCACCCACCGUAAUACUUAUGCUCUUGAGAGAAGCCACUAGUGAAACCUAUGGCCCCCGGGUCUAUUUUCCAUCAUAUUCAAUCUCCCGACAACAACCUAUUUCUGACGCCAUUUUUACUUUGUUUACUUUACUUUGCAUCUUUAUCAUAAAAAUACCAAAAAUAUUAUCUUAUCAUAUCUAUCAGAUCUCACUCUCGUAAGUGACCGUGAAGGGAUUGACAACCCCUUUAUUGCGUUGGUUGCGAGGAUUUAUUUGUUUGUGUAGGUGCGAGGGGCUUGCGCGUGGCCUCCUACUGGAUUGAUACCUUGGUUCUCAAAAACUGAGGGAAAUACUUACGCUACUUUGCUGCAUCACCCUUUCCUCUUCAAGGGAAAACCAACGCAGUGCUCAAGAGGUAGCAAGAAGGAUUUCUGGCGCCGUUGCCGGGGAGUCUACGCAAAAGUCAACAUACCAAGUACCCAUCACAAACCCUUAUCUCCCGCAUUACAUUGUUUGCCAUUUGCCUCUCGUUUUCCUCUCCCCCACUUCACCCUUGCCGUUUUAUUCGCCCUCUCUUUUCCAUUUGCCUCUUUUUGCCUGUCUCCUGUUUGCUCAUGUGUUGGAUUGCUUGCUUGUCAUGAUGGCUCAAGAUAAUACUAAAUUGUGUGACUUCACCAAUACCAACAACAAUGAUUUCCUUAGCACUCUGAUUUCUCCUCUUACCGAUACUGAAUCUUGUGAAAUCAAUGCUGCUUUGUUGAAUCUUGUCAUUAAAGAUCAAUUCGCCGGCCUUCCUAGUGAAGAUGCCGCUACCCAUCUAAAUAGCUUCGUUGAUUUGUGUGAUAUGCAAAAGAAGAAAGAUGUGGAUAAUGAUAUUGUUAAACUGAAUCUAUUUCCCUUUUCGCUUAGAGAUCGUGCUAAAGCUUGGUUUUCAUCUUUGCCUAAAAAUAGUAUUGAUUCUUGGAAUAAGUGAAAAGAUGCUUUUAUCUCUAAAUAUUUUCCUCCCGCUAAGAUCAUCUCUCUUAGAAACGAUAUUAUGAAUUUUAAGCAACUUUCAUGAACAUGUUGCACAAGAUUGGAGAGGAUGAAAUUAAUGAUACGUAAUUGCCCUACACAUGGUUUGAAUUUAUGGAUGAUUAUACAAAUUUUUUAUGCCGGAUUGAAUUUUGCUUCUAGAAAUCUUUUAGACUCGGCCGCGGGAGGCACUUUUAUGGAAAUCACUUUAGGAGAAGCUACUAAACUCCUAGAUAAUAUUAAGGUUAAUUAUUCUCAAUGGCACACUGAAAGAUCUACUAGUAAAAAGGUGCAUGCGGUAGAAUAAAUUAAUGUUUUGAGUGGAAAGAUGGAUGAACUUAUGAAAGUAUUUGCUACUAGGAGUGUUUCUUCUGAUCCUAAUGAUAUGCCUUUGUCUACUUUGAUUGAGCAUAAUAAUGAAUCUAUGGAUGUAAAUUUUGUUGGUAGGAAUAAUUUUGGUAACAACGCGUAUAGUAGAAACUUUAAUCCUAGGCCUUAUCCUAGCAAUUCCUCUAAUAAUUAUGAUAAUUCCUACAACAAUUCUUAUGGAACUUUAAUAAGAUGCCCUCUGAAUUUGAGACUAGUGUUAAGGAGUUUAUGAAUUCACAAAAGAAUUUCAAUGCUUUGCUCGACGAAAAAUUGCUUAAAGUUGAUGAAUUGGCUAGGAACAUUGAUAGAUUUUCUCUUGAUAUUGAUUCUUUGAAACUUAGAUCUAUUCCACCUAAGCAUGAUAUCAAUGAGUCUCUCAAAGCCAUGAGAAUUUCCAUUGAUGAAUGCAAAGAAAGAACCGCUAGGAUGCGUGCUAAGAAAGAUUGCUUUGUAAAAGCGUGUUCUUCUAGUUCCUACGAAAAUAAAGAUGAAGAUCCAAAAGUUAUUGAUGUGUCCCCUAUUAAACCUUUGUUUAGAAAUAUGAAUCUUGAUAAUGAUGGGACUGAAUAUGAUCCACCUCUACCUAGAAGGUGUUCCAAAAAUUCGGAGUUUUUAGACCUUGAUGCUAAAAUUGGUAAAAGUGGGAUUGAAGAGAUCAAAACUCUAGAUAUUAAUGAACCCACUAUUUUGGAUUUCAAGGAAUUUAAUUAUGAUAAUUGCUCUGUGAUAGAUUGUAUUUCCUUGUUGCAAUCCGUUCUAAAUUCUCCUCAUGCUUAUAGUCAAAAUAAAGCUUUUACUAAACAUAUCGUUGAUGCUUUGAUGCAAUCUUAUGAAGAAAAACUUGAUUUGGAAGUUUCUAUCCCUAGAAAACUCUAUGAUGAGUGGGAACCUACUAUUGAAAUUAAAAUUAAAGAUCAUGAAUGCUAUGCUUUGUGUGAUUUGGGUGCUAGUGUUUCCACGAUUCCAAAGACUUUGUGUGAUUUGUUAGGUUUCCGUGAUUUUGAUGAUUGCUCUUUAAACUUGCACCUUGCGGAUUCCACCAUUAAGAAACCUAUGGGAAGAAUUAAUGAUGUUCUUAUUGUUGCAAAUAGAAACUAUGUGCCCGUAGAUUUUAUUGUUCUUGAUAUCGAUUGCAAUCCUUCAUGUCCUAUCAUUCUUGGUAGACCUUUCCUUAGAACGAUCGGUGCAAUUACUGAUAUGAAGGAAGGAAAUAUUAGAUUCCAAUUUCCGUUAAGGAAAGGCAUGGAACACUUUCCUAGAAAGAAAAUAAAAUUACCAUAUGAAUCUAUCAUGAGAGCCACUUACGAAUUGCCUACCAAAGAUGGCAAUACCUAGAUCUAUCCUUGCCUUUAUGCCUAGCUAGGGGCGUUAAACGAUAGCGCUUGUUGGGAGGCAACCCAAUUUUUUUUUGCUUUUUGCUUCUGUUUAGGAAUAAAUAUUUGAUCUAGCCUCUGGUUAGACUUGUUUUUAUGUUUUAAUUAGUGUUUGUGCCAAGUUAAACCUAUAGGAUCUUCUCGGAUGAUAGUUAUUUGAUUUUGCUAUAAAUUUCAGAAACUUUCUAUUCACGCAAAUAAUUGUUUAAAAUUACCAGAACGCGAUAAAAUAUUGAUUCCAAUUGCUGCUGAUCAAUAAAGAAAUUUUCUAGGUCGUCCUAUUUUGGCUGAAGUUUUGGAGUUCCAGAAGUUUGCGUUACUUACAGAUUACUACAGACUGUUCUGUUUUUGACAGAUUCUGUUUUUCGUGUGUUGUUUGCUUAUUUUGAUGAAUCUAUGGCUAGUAAAAUAGUUUAUAAACCAUAGAGAACUUGGAAUACAGUAGGAUUAACACCAAUAUAAAUAAAUAAUGAGUUCAUUACAGUAUCUUGAAGUGGUGUUUUGUUUUCUUUCGCUAACGGAGCUCACGAGAUUUUAUGUUAAGUUUUGUGUUGUGAAGUUUUCAAGUUUUGGGUGAAAGAUUUGAUGGAUUAUGGAAUAAGGAGUGGCAAGAGCCUAAGCUUGGGGAUGCCCAUGGCACCCCAAGAUAAUCUAAGGACACCAAAAAUCCAAAUCUUGGGGAUGCCCCGGAAGGCAUCCCCUCUUUCGUCUACUUCCAUCGGUAACUUACUUGGAGCUAUAUUUUUAUUCACCACAUGAUAUGUGUUUUGCUUGGAGCGUUUUUAUGAUUUGAGUCUUUGCUUUUUAGUUUACCACAAUCAUCCUUGCUGUACACACCUUUUGAGAGAGACACACAUGAUUCGGAAAUUAUUUUAAUACUCUAUGUGCUUCACUUAUAUCUUUUGAGCUAUAUAGUUUUUGCUCUAGUACUUCACUUAUAUCUUUUAGAGCACGGUGGUAACUUUUGUUUUAUAGAAACUAUUAUUCUCUCAUGCUUCACUUAGAUUCUUUUGAGAGUCUUAAAUAGCAUGGUAAUUUGCUUAAUCCUAAUAUGCUAGGUAUUCAAGACUAGUACAAACUUUCUUAUGAGUGUGUUGAAUACUAAGAGAAGUUAGAUGCUUGAUGAUUGUUUGAGAUAUGGAGGUAGUGAUAUCAAAGUUGUGCUAGUUGAGUAGUUGUGAAUUUGAGAAAUACUUGUGUUGAAGUUUGCAAGUCCCGUAGCAUGCACGUAUGGUAAACGUUAUGUAACAGAUUUGAAACAUGAGGUGUUCUUUGAUAGUCCUCCUUAUGAGUGGCGGUCGGGGACGAGCGAUGGUCUUUCCCUACCAAUCUAUCCCCCUAGGAGCAUGCGCGUAGUGCUUGGUUUUUGAUGACUUGUAGAUUUUUGCAAUAAGUAUGUGAGUUCUUUAUGACUAAUGUUGAGUCCAUGGAUUAUACACACUCUCACCUUUCCAUCAUUGCUAGCCUCUUCGGUACCGUGCAUUGCCCUUUCUCAUACUGAGAGUAGGUGCAAACUUCGCCGGUGCAUCCAAACCGCGUGAUAUGAUACGCUCUUUCACACAUAAACCUCCUUAUAUCUUCCUCAAAACAGCCACCAUACCUACCUAUUAUGGCAUUUCCAUAGCCAUUCCGAGAUAUAUUGCCAUGCAACUUUCCACCAUUCCGUUUAUCAUGACACAUUCAUCAUUGUCAUAUUGCUUUGCAUAAUCAUGUAGUUGACAUAGUAUUUGUGGUAAAGCCACCAUUCAUAAGUCUUUCAUACAUGUCACUCUUGGUUCAUUGCAUAUCCCGGUACACCGCCGGAGGCAUUCAUAUGGAGUCAUACUUUGUUCUAGUAUCGAGUUGUAAUCAUUGAGUUGUAAAUAAAUAGAAGUGUGAUGAUCAUCAUUUUCUAAAGCAUUGUCCCAAGCGAGGAAAAAUAAAAAAAUAAAAAAGGGGAGAAAGGCCAUAAAAAAGAAGGCCCAAAAAAAUGAGAGAAAAAGAGAGAAGGGACAAUGUUACUAUCCUUUUUACCACAUUGUGCUUCAAAGUAGCACCAUAAUCUUCAUGAUAGAGAGUCUUUUGUUUUGUCACUUUCAUAUACUAGUGGGAACUUUUCAUUAUAGAACUUGGCUUGUAUAUUCCAACAAUGGGCUUCCUCAAAUUCCCUAGGUCUUCAUGAGCAAGCAAGUUGGAUGCACACCCACUUAGUUUCUUUUGUUGAGCUUUCAUAUAUUUAUAGCUCUAGUGCAUCCGUUGCAUGGCAAUCCCUACUCCUUGCAUUAACAUCAAUAGAUGGGCAUCUCCAUAGCUCAUUGGUUAGCCUCGUUGAUGUGAGACUUUCUACUUUUUUGUCUUCUCCACAUAACCCCCAUCAUUAUAUUCUAUUCCACCCAUAGUGCUAUAUCCAUGGCCCACGCUCAUGUAUUGCGUGAAGGUUGAAAAAGUUUGAGAGUACUAAAGUAUGAAACAAUUGCUUGGCUUGUCAUUGGGGUUGUGCAUGAUGAGAGCAUUCUUGUGCGACGAAAAUGGAGCAUGACUAAACUAUAUGAUUUUGUAGGGAUGAACUUUCUUUGGCCAUGUUAUUUUGAGAGGACAUAUUGCUUAGUUAGUAUGCUUGAAGUAUUAUUAUUUUUAUGUCAAUAUUGAACUUUUAUCUUGAAUUUUUCGGAUCUGAAUAUUCAUACCACAAUUAAGAAGAAUUACAUUGAAAUUAUGCCAAGUAGCAUUCCACAUCAAAAAUUCUGUUUUUAUCAUUUACCUACUCGAGGACGAGCAGGAAUUAAGCUUGGGGAUGCUUGAUACGUCUCCAACGUAUCUAUAAUUUUUUAUUGUUCCAUGCUAUAUUAUAUUCUGUUUUGGACAUUAUUGGGCUUUAUUAUACACUUUUAUAUUAUUUUUGGGACUAACCUAUUAACCGGAGGCCCAGCCUAGAAUUGUUGUUUUUUGCCUAUUUCAGAGUUUCGCAGAAAAAGAAUAUCAAACGGAGUCCAAACGGAAUGAAACCUUCAGGAACGUGAUUUUCGGAACGAACGUGAUCCAGAGGACUUGGACCCUACGUCAAGACAUCAACCAGGAAGGCGCGAGGUAGGGGGGCGCGCCUACCCCCCCCCCCAGGGCGCGCCCUCCACCCUCGUGGGCCCCAUGUUGCUCCACCGACGUACUUCUUCCUCCUAUAUAUACCUACGUACCCCCAAACUAUCAGAUACGGAGCCAAAAACCUAAUUCCACCGCCGCAACCUUCUGUACCCGUGAGAUCCCAUCCUGGGGCCUGUUCCGGAGCGCUGCCGGAGGGGGCAUCAAUCACGGAGGGCUUCUGCAUCAACACCAUAGCCUCUCCGAUGAAGUGUGAGUAGUUUACCUCAGACCUUCGGGUCCAUACUUAUUAGCUAGAUGGCUUCUUCUCUCUUUUUGGAUCUCAAUACAAUGUUCUCUCCAUCUCUUGUGGAGAUCUAUUCGUUGUAAUCUUGUUUUGCGGUGUGUUUGUUGAGACUGAUGAAUUGUGGGUUUAUGAUCAAGUUUAUCUCUGAACAAUAUUUGAAUCUUCUCCGAAUUAUUUUAUGUAUGGUUGGUUAUCUUUGCAAGUCUCUUCGAAUUAUCAGUUUGGUUUGGCCUACUAGAUUGAUCUUUGUUGCAAUGAGAGAAGUGCUUAGUUUUGGGUUCAAUCUUGCGGUGUCCUUUCCCAGUGACAGUAGGGGCAGCAAGGCACGUAUUGUAUUGUUGCCAUCGAGGAUAACAAGAUAUGUCAUCUUGCUUAAAAUGUUACUCUGUUCUUAUGAACUUAAUACUCUAGAUGCAUGCUGGAUAGCGGUCGAUGUGUGGAGUAAUAGUAGUAGAUGCAGGCAGGAGUGGGUCUACUUGUCUCGGACGUGAUGCCUAUAUACAUGAUCAUACCUAGAUAUUCUCAUAACUAUGCUCAAUUCUAUCAAUUGCUCAAUAGUAAUUUGUUCACCCACCGUAAUACUUAUGCUGUUGAGAGAAGCCACUAGUGAAACCUAUGGCCCCCGGGUUUUAUUUCCAUCAUAUUCAAUCUCCCGACAACAAGCUAUUUCUGACGCCGUUUUUACUUUGUUUACUUUACUUUGCAUCUUUAUCAUAAAAAUACCAAAAAUAUUAUCUUAUCAUAUCUAUCAGAUCUCACUCUCGUAAGUGACCGUGAAGGGAUUGACAACCCCUUUAUUGCAUUGGUUGCGAGGAUUUAUUUGAUUGUGUAGGUGCGAGGGACUUGCGCGUGGCCUCCUACUGGAUUGAUACCUUGGUUCUCAAAAACUUAGGGAAAUACUUAAGCUACUUUGCUGCAUCACCCUUUCCUCUUCAAGGGAAAACCAACGCCGUGCUCAAGAGGUAGCAGCGAGCCCGCUGUCUUCUCCCGCGCAAAAGCGGUUCAUCAGAGCAGUGAGGGCUGUCAUGGAUUUAGGUCCUUCUUGGCCGAGGUGGCGUGCAAGCCAUUCGUCCCGGACGCUAUGUCUAAAGGCCGCAAGGGCUUCUGCCCGGACAGUCGAAGAUUUGGUUCUUUUUAACUAAGAACCGAGUCCAGAGCUUCCUGGCUGAUUCUCCGGGCUGCUGGACAAUGUGACUUAGGUCAUCGGCAUCCGGUGGCCGGACAUAUGUUCCUCGGAAGUUAUCGAGGAAAGCCUCUUCCAAGUCCUCCUAGCUGCCUAUGGAAUUUUCAGGCAGGCUGUUUAACCAGUGCCGAGCUGGUCCUUUUAGCUUUAGUGGGAGGUAUUUAUUGGCGUGGAGGUCGUCCCCACGGGCCAUAUGGAUGUGGAGGAUAAAAUCUUCUAUCCAUACUGUGAGAUCGGCUGUGCCGUCGUAUGAUUCAAUAUUGACGGGUUUGAAUCCUUCGGGGAAUUCAUGAUCCAUUACUUCAUCAGUGAAGCAUAGCGGGUGUGCGGCUCCUCUAUGUUGGGCCACAUUGCGACGUAACUCUGAAGGAGUCCCUUUUCGGUAUUUGGCGCGGGUGUGGCGAGGUUUGUCACGUCCGAACAGGUAGCCAUCGUCGAGCGUCAAGGCAUGCCUUCGCGAUCCGUAGAUCGGUCUUGCGUGUCCUGCUCUAUUGUCCAAGUCCCUCUGCAGGUCGUCUGGGUAAUCGUGACCUGCGUUGUUCUUGCCUUUACGGCGAGGUGGGGCGGUCUGGUGUUCGGCUUGAGUUGCCUCUUUAUCCGGACAGAGUUGUCGGUGACCUGCCGCUUUAUGUGACGAUGGUACGGGCUCCAACACCCCGUCAUCGGACUGGUAUAUAAUUCUGUGCUUUGGGUAGCUUUUGUCUAGGUCAUUAAGGCCGUAUUCUUCGGCGACCAAGACUUCGGUCCAUCUGUCAUUGAGUAGGUUUUGGUCUGCUUGAAGUUGCUGCUGCUUCUUUUUUAGGCUCCUUGCCGUAGCUAUUAGCCUGCGCUUGAAGCGCUCCUGUUCGAGGGGCUCUUCAGGUACGAUGAAGUCUUCGUCGCCGAGGCUUACCUCAUCUUCGGAGAGCGAAAGGUAGUUGUCGUCCUCCGAACUGUCGCUGGGCAGGGCCUGUUCAUCAGGGCUCACUUGCCUGAUUUCUUGUUCCUCCUGUUUGGAUCCUCCCGCGAUAGGGUCUUCAUUGUCCGGAGUGUUACCUUCUCUGGUGCUAGUGUUGUUUUCUUUUGAGCGACGUGGCUUAGAGCGGCGCCGGGGGCGCCGGUGUUCGGAUUGUGUCCCGGGAGGCUUAUCCUCAACUGGAUCCUCUUUGUCAUCGUCGAGAUCGUCGUUGGGUGUGUCUACCAUACACACGUCAUACCAGGAAUUGGUCGUUCCUCGUCUAGUGGAUAGUGAGUUCUGGCCUUGCCCCUCAUCGUCGUCCAUAUCGUCGAUGUCUGCAGAGCCGGGGUCAAGCGUGUUGGUUGGGUCUUCGACAGUGGCUAUGAAGUGGGUGGCGGGUGGGAAACAAAAUUCUCCAUCGUCCGCCGCCAGCUCGAACCGAACAUAGUUCGGCGGCGAGUCACCUGCCAGAGAUAGAUUUUUUAGUGAGUUUAGUACGUCGCCCAUGGGCGAGUGUCGGAAGACGUCUGCAGUGCUGAACUUGAAGAUCGAUAACCGAUCGAGUUUAGUAUCUACGGACUCACGGGGUUCGGAACUUGUCGCCGGAGACGAGUCCGGGGUUCCAUGAUACAUAUAUCAUAUGAAGUAAAAUCUGCACGAGGCUCCAACGCCGCGGAAUCGGUAGCCUCCGUGAUGGGGUUGAGCUUCCCAUCUUCGGAUGACUCGAUCUGCUCCGGCUCUAGGGCCAGAGUUGUUACAGGAGCUAUCUCCUGUAUGCGGCCCGGUGGCCGAUUUAAGCCGUGCCUAGCGGGGCGAAGGGGAGCGGUUGCCGCGGUCUCAAAUCCGUCGAAGAUCAAGUCUCCAUGGAUGUCCGCGACAUAGUUCAAGCUUCCAAAUCUGACAUGAUGGCCAGGGGCGUAGCUGUCGAUCUGCUCCAGAUGGCCAAGCGACUUGGCCCGCAGUACGAAGCCGUCGAAUACGAAGAUCUGUCUGGGGAGGAAGGUAUCUCCCUGGACGGCAUCACUAUAGACAGUCGAAGGGGCCAUCAAACCUUUCGUCGACGGCAAUGAAAGCACCAAUGUCGGUGUCAAAACCAUCGGAUCUCGGGUAGGGGUCCCGAACUGUGCGUCUAAGGUUGAUGGUUUGCAGGAGACGGGGGACACGAUGUUUACCCAGGUUCGGGCCCUCUCUAUGGAGGUAAUACCCUACUUCCUGCUUGAUUGAUCUUUAUGAAUAUGAGCAUUACAAGUGUUGAUCUACCACAAGAUCGACAUGGCUAAACCCUAGAAGUCUAGCAUGUAUGACUAAGGUAAUGAGUCUCUUCCUAUCCGGACUACGCUCUCCGGUUUAUAUAGGCACCGGAGAGAUCUAGGGUUACAUGGAGUCGGUUACAUAGAAAGGAAUCUACACGAUUGAUUGCCACGCUUGCCUUCCAUGCCAAGGAGAGUCCUGUCCGGACACGGGUGCCAUCUUUGGUCUUCGUAUCUUUACAGCCCAUCAGCCCGGCCCACGGAUAACAGGCCAGACGCCCGAGGACCCCUUACUCCAGGACUCCCUCAAGGGGGUCUCGAUGGUAAUAGGAGACGGGGGACACGAUGUUUACCCAGGUUCGGGCCCUCUCUAUGGAGGUAAUACCCUACUUCCUGCUUGAUUGAUCUUGAUGAAUAUGAGUAUUACAAGAGUUGAUCUACCAUGAGAUCGUAAUGGCUAAAACCCUAGAAGUCUAGCCUAUAUGAUUAUGAUUGCCUCUACGGACUAAACCCUCUGGUUUAUAUAGACACCAGAGGGGACUAGGGUUGUACAAAGUCGGUUACAGAGAAAGGAAUCUUCAUAUCCGAACGCCAAGCUUGCCGUCCAUGCCAAGGAGAGUCCCAUCCGGACACGGGAGAAAGUCUUUUGUCUCGUAUCUUCAUGGCCCAUCAGUCCGGCCCACGUUACAUAGUUCGGACGCCCGAGGACCCCUUAAUCCAGGACUCCCUCAGUAGCCCCUGAACCAGGCUUCAUUGACGAUGUGUCUGGCAUGCAAAUUGUCUUCGGCAUUGCAAGGCGGGUUCCUCCUCCGAAUCCUCCAAAGCAGCCUUCGAACACAGGAAACGUGUCCGGCUCUGCAAAACAAAUACCACACACAACCGCAGAGAGUACAAUAUUUCACGAGUCCAAUCUACUGGCAACUUUUUGUAGCGUGACAUCACGUCACUGCCCGGUCAUUAUUUCAAACCAUUUUUAGCCUGCCGCUCCGCGUUUCAAGAUGCGGUUUCCAUUGGUACGUCUUGUCGCAGCAGAGAUCGUGUCCCCUUAUUACGGGAUUCUCAUCAAUACGGGUGUGGGUAAUCUAACCAUGCCGUCUUCACGGCCCUUGGGAAUAGGCGAGUUUUAAGGCGAGUGGGGAGGCGCUUGAUAUUCACCGCCUUUAUAAGGAGAUAAGGAUUCCUUUCUUUCACCCACACCUUCUCUCUCUCUGCCCCCCCCAUUCUCGAGCUCCAGCGCCCAAGUUCUCAUCCUUUUCGCCUCAAAAAAGCACUCCAAUCAUGUCCGGAUCCGGAGCGCAGGGCAAGUGGAUGGUCUCCUCCGUCAAGGAGAAGGACAUCACCAAGCUCCGGGAGGCCGGGUAUUUGUCCAAGGAAGUCGCCCACCGGCUUCCGGCCAAGGGGCAGAUCGUCUCCACCACGGAGCCCCAUGAGAGGGUAGUGUUCAUCCCUCACUUCAUCCGCGGGCUGGGAUUUCCUCUCCACCCAUUCAUCCGCGGACUCAUGGUCUACUACGAGCUAGAUUUCCAUGAUCUAGCCCCAAAUUCUUUCCUCAACAUCUCGGCAUUUAUUGUCGUCUGCGAGGCUUUCCCCCGCAUCCCACCCCACUUCGGAUUGUGUCUAAAGAUCUUCAAUGUGAAGCCGAAGGUGGUGGGUGGCCAGCACGUAGAGUGCGGAGGCACCAUGGCGAGCAAGAUGCCCAAUGUCACAUUGCCCGAAGGCUCCUUCGUGGAGACCGUCAAAGGGUGGCAGCAAUUGUGGUUCUAUAUCACAGAGCCCCACGAUGCCACCUGGGCCGCGGCUCCCGAAUUCAAGUCCGGAGCCCCAAUGCGGCUCACCUCCUGGCUAGAGAAGGGCCUAAAUUGGGCUUCGUCGGACGAGCUAACAGCGCUGCAGAUGCGCAUCCAGAGGAUGGUGGACAAGAACAUCAAGCUCGUCAAUGUGAUCCAGGUGAUGCUAGUUCGCCGAAUCCUUCCAUGCCAGAGCCGGGCUUGCCAUCUAUGGGAGUUCGAUCCGGCCGAGCACCAGACCUUGCAACGGUUCUUCGGAACUACGCACGAAGAUAUCUGGAAGGUGCUCUUCAAGGCCAACGAGACGUGGCCGAAGACGACCGAGGACCGUGGGCACGACCUGGCCCAUCCUGCCGGUCUGGUAAGCCUUUCGCAUUUCAAGGUGUAUCCUUUACUUGCUUAUUCAGGGAAGAUGCCUAAGCCUCCCUAUUUAUUUUUUUAGGGCUGGACAAAGAAGGCGGAGCGGAUUCAGUAUCUGGCUCCGCCGCCCGAGGAGCCAGCCAUCCCGCUUCUGACGAAGAUGCUGGUUUCGGUGCCCUACCAGGCACCGGAGAAGAAGGCCAAGAAAAAGGCCAAGGAGACCUAAAGUGGCCUCCGCCGCAAGGGCGCUUCGGACGUGACGUCCGAAGACAUCGAGCAUCACUCCUCCGCCGUCGAGGACGACGAGGAGGACGAGCAAGAAAGCAACUCCCCCCUGAGGGGGGAAGGAAGAAGAGGGCGGCCUCCACGCGUCUGGAGGCCAAAGAGUCCAAGAAGGGGAAAGUCUCCCUCGCGGAUAACUCCGAGUGGGACAUCGAUAGCAUCCCAGAGCGGCGCCCCCGAGAUAAGACCCUGGCUGAAUCGUGAGUACUCAAAGACCAUGACGUAUUCAUAUAUCCAGCCUCUUUACUUCAUAGUUUUAACAUGCUAAAUCAUGCACUUGCAGUCCGGCUCGUUCCGUCCUCGAGCAAUCCUCAUCUUCGGGGAAUUCGCUGGACCCGAAGGUGAUGGACAGCGGGUCCCUUCCGGCGGCCUCCUCUCCCAGGGCCAUGGAUGACACCGAGGUGUUGUCCCGAAGGAUCCCAGGCCAGGGAGAGACACGGGAGGCCGUCAGGGCGGCACCGGAGGGUGAACCUAGGCUAUCGGACACAUGGGGGAGCAAAUCCCCACGAAGACUGGCGAUGGGGGCCAUAUCCAAUUCGGCCCCCAGCCGAAUACGGUCCCGGAGACCUAUACGGCUCCGGAAUCCGGCAAGCAGCCUCCUUUGAAAGGAGGAGGUGUCCCUAUUCCACCGGUGACCUAUGUCCAACCAGAGGCACCUGAUACUCUAUGGAAGCGCUGCGAAGUGCUUCCAUUGUUGAGGAACACCGUGCCCUCAUGGGUACGGUGAUUGAGAAGAUUCAGUCCGCGAAGAGCGGACUGACUGAAGCCUGCGCAAGCCUUCUAACAGGCUUUGAGGUAAGAAACGCAAUUAUGUAAAAAGAAUGUCACAGUAUGGACAGUAGCCCCUGAGACUCUGUCCGGUGUUUGGAAAGAAAAGCCGGACAGAGGAUCAAAUAAUUUUCGCAAGAGACUAACCAUACAUGUCUAUGUGAAUAAGUAGGCGUCGUUGCUGGCUGUGACCUCCCACGCUGCCGAAGUCUCCGGACAGAAGCAGAGUCUGGAGCGGACCGAGGAAGAGCUCGGCCGUGUAAAAAAUCAGCUAGAGGAUAAGCAAGGUAUGCAACGGCCUAUUCAAAUCUAGAAAGAUAUGAAUUGUUUCAUGUUGAUCACAGUAUCAUGAUAUGUCGUAGUAGUUGUGACCGAGGUGGAGACCCUCAAGGCCGCGCUGGCAGAAGCCCAGAAGAGAGCGGCGGAGGAACAAUCCGUCCGCGAAAAGGACGAGGCCGUGGUCGGGGAGGUCCAGCAAGAACUCCAGGAUGCCGUGAAGAAAUGCGAGUCCUUGGAUCGCAAGAUUGCAGAUCAAGAGUCCGAGCUUGAUAAGGCCCGCCAAAGCGCCCAAGGGGCCCGGGUUGAAGCCCAGGGCGUCCUCCAGGAAACCCAAGAGGCCAAGAAAAUCGCGGCAGGUAAGGCCUUCAUUAUGCAAAGCAAAUAUGCGAAGAAGAGGUAUCUCUUACUAACCCAGAUUUGGAGUUCUCCAGGGCGUUUGCGGAUCUGCCACGCAGUGUGUCUGACGCUGCGGAAUUCUUCCGAGCCGAAGAGGGGAGCUCAAUGGAGAAGCUGUUCUGGUCGCAAUAUCUUGCGCUGGAACAUACGGUGCCUUUUAGCGAUCAGCUAAAACAGCUGGUCGAACUGCAUAGGGUGGCCUAACUGGCCAUGAGGGAUUUGAUAAUCCGGCUGUGGCCUGCCGAAGCAAUACCCAGCAGCUACUUCGGGCUUGUGAAGCGGCUGGUCAAUGCCUACCCCCGGCUUGACGUCAUCAAGCGGUCGGUCUGCAUCGAAGGUGUGUGGAUGGCCUUCGCGCGUGUCAAGGUGCAGUGGGCAAAGAUGAACGCCGUCAAGCUCACGACCGAGGGACCACCCGCUGGCAAGGAGCACUGCACGCCCGAGCGGUAUUUUGAUGAUGUCCUGGAGGGAUCCCGCAUUGUAGCGGAGCAAUGUGCUAAGGACAUUAUUUUUGAAUUGAAUUCAUUCAUGUUAUCCUGUCCUGUAUUAUGAAACAAAGCCGUUAUGUAAUAUAAUGCUUGUUUAUUAUUUGAAAUUUUACCUCCUGUGCGGCCGUUUUUAUUAAAUCUGAGAGUUGGCCAGUCGUCGGCUUCAACCCCCAUGUAGGUAGUACGGGGGUGUUCGGGAUGAAAUCUAAACACUCUUGAUCCAAAGGCUUGGUCCUUGAAGGAGGUGUUUAGCGCAACGAACCAGGCAAUCGGACUAUGUGGCUUUAUCACCCUCACUUAGCCAUAGGAGUUUGACAAUAGAAUUUUAGGCGCAGCCCCUGGUAUUCAUAAAUCCGAACUAGGGUGCUGUAAACACCUGAUCGGGUAAAGACCGAUUCGUCGCGUAAUGCGGAAAAAAUCGCAAAAGAUUUGUAACUUCCGAACAGCUGAACGGCACACGCCGCAUCAUGACAGUCAGUUUUCGGCUUUCUCUACUAAGGUGCUCAUCCAGAUAAACCAGGACACAAUCGCAGUAGUUCUCCCUUUACUACCCUAGCCGAUAUAGAGGAAUAUAAGGUAGUAAGCACAGGAGCCGGGCAACCCAACUAUUGACCACAGACAUGAUUCGGAGCCGAUGCAUAUAAUGCUAAAAUUUGGGGUGCCGAACUAUACUGUAAAAAAGUGUUCGGACUUUGUUGCCGUAGUAUGGGGCUCAAUGAAGCCCCUGGCGAAUUAAGGCGUACCAAAGUGUACGGGUGCAAUUGAUAAGAUUAUCAAGAAAAAAUGAAGUAGUAAGCUAGUGCCGCAGAAGUUGGGCCACAAACUGUUUCCAUUAUUGUUUGAUUAAUAUGUCAAAGUGUAUUUUUACAAGUAGCGCGAUAAGCAACAGGGCUAUUUAACAUGCCACGGCCAAGGGAGAGCUGCGUGCGGGUCCUGAAAACAUGUAGGGUGGUCGUCAAAAAGACUGUCGGUGUCAAAACCGGCAGAUCUCGGGUAGGGGGUCCCGAACUGUGCAUCUAGGAUCGAUGGUAACAGGAGACGGGGGACACGAUGUUUACCCAGGUUCGGGCCCUCUCUAUGGAGGUAAUACCCUACUUCCUGCUUGAUUGAUCUUGAUGAAUAUGAGUAUUACAAGAUUUGAUCUACCACGAGAUUGUAAUGGCUAAAACUCUAGAAGCCUAGCCUGUAUGACUAUGGUAAUGUGUAUGUCCCCUAUCCGGACUACGCCCUUCGGUUUAUAUAGACACCGGAGCGAUCUAGGGUUUACAAAGAGUCGGUUACAUAAGGAAUCUUCAUAGUCGAUCGCCAAGCUUGCCUUCCAUGCCAAGGAGAGUCCAAUCCAAACACGGGUACAGUCUUCGGCCUUCAUGUCUUCAUAGCCAUCAGUCCGGCCCAUGGAUAACAGGACGGACGCCCGAGGACCCCUUAGUCCAGGACUCCCUCUGUAGCCCCUGAACCUGGCUUCAAUGACGAGGAGUCCGGCGCGCAGAUUGUCUUCGGCAUUGCAAGGCAGGUUCCCCUUUUUCCGAACUCCAAGAUAGUCUUCGGAUGCGAUGACUAGUAUCCGGACCUAUCACACACACCAUACACAACCGCAGAGAGAAUAUAUUUUUACACGAGUUCCAUCCGCUGACAACUUUUUUGCAGCACGACAUUACGUCCGACCGGUCAUAAUUCCAAACCGCUUUUGUGUUCGACGCCCCACGUCCCGAGACGCGGUUGCCAUUGGCACGUCUUGUCAAAGCAGAGAGCGUGUCCCCUUAUCACGGGAUUCUCAUCAAUGCGGGCAUGGGUAACCCAACCGUGCCGUUUAUACAGCCCUUGGGAAUAGGCGAAUCUUAAGGCGAGUGAGGAGGCAUUUAACACUCGCUGCCUUUAUAACGGGAUAAUGAUUCCCUUUUCCUCUCUCGCGCCCUCUCUCGGUCUCUGCCUUUCCAAUCUUGAGCUCCAGCGCCCAAGUUCUCAUCUCCUUGCCACUCAAGCAACCAUGUCCGGAUCCGGAGGUCAGGGCAAGUGGAUGGUCUCCUCCGUCAAGGAGGAGGACAUUACUGAGCUUCGGGCGGCCGGAUAUUUGGCGAAGGAGAUCGCCCACCGUCUGCCGGCCGAGGGACAAGUCGUCCCCAUGCCGAAGCCCACCGAGAGGGUAGUAUUCAUCCCCCAUUUCUUCCGCGGGCUAGGGUUUCCACUCCACCAUUUCGUCCGCGGCUUGAUGUAUUAUUACGGGAUAGAUUGCCAUGAUUUGUCCCCGAAUUCCUUCCUCAACAUCUCGGCGUUUAUCGUCGUGUGUGAGGCCUUCCUACGCAUCCAACCCCACUUCGGGCUGUGGCUCAAAGUCUUCAACGUGAAGCCGAAGAUGGUGGAUGGCCAGCACGCGGAGUGCGGAGGAGCCAUGGUGAGUAAGCUGUCCAACGUCUCCGGGCCCAAAGGCACUUUUGUGGACACAGUAAAGGAGUGGCAGAAGCAGUGGUUCUACAUCAUAGAAGCUCGCGGCACCACCUGGGCCGCAGCUGCCGAAUUCCGCUCCGGUGCUCCCAUGCGACUCACCCCCUGGGUCGAGAAGAGUCCGGACUGGUGUUCACCUGACGAGCUGAUAGCACUGCAGACGCGCGUUCAAAGCAUGGUGACCAAGAAUGUCAAGCUCGUCGAUGUAAUCCAGGUGAUGCUAGUUCGCCGGAUUCUUCCGUGCCAGCGCCGAAGCCGCCCUCUGUGGGAGUUCAAUUCGAAGAAGCACCAGACCUUGCUAAGACUCUUCGAGACUACUCACGAAGGUGCCUGGAAGUUGCUUUUUAAGGGCAACGAGAAGCCACCGGCCACGGAUUCAGACCGUGGUCACGAUUGUAAACACCCCGCCAGCGAGGUAUCCUAUCUCUGACGUAUCCCCAACUUAAUUGUUUCGAAGAUGAUGUCUGAGUUAAUCAUUGUGUUUUCAGGACUGGAUGGAGAGGGCGAAGCGGAUCCAGUGUCCGGCUCCGCUGCCUGAAGAACCGGUCAUCCCGCAUCUAGCAAAGAUGCUGGUGCCAGCGCCAUAUAAGGCGCCGGAGAAGAAGGCCAAGAAGAAGGCCAAGGGGGCCAAGAGUGGCCCCCGUCGCAAAGGCACUCCGGACGUGACGUCCGAAGAAGACGAAGCUCAUUCCUCUGUCCCUGAGGACAAUGAUGAGGAAGAGGAGGAGGAGGAGGAGGAAAACAACCCUCCCCCUGAGGAGAGGAAGAAGAAGAGGGCGGCUUCGGCGCAUUUGGAGGCGGAAACGCCCAAGAAGGGGAAGGGCGUCCCAGCUGUCAACACCGCGUGGGACGUUGACAGCAGUCCGGAACGACACCCCCGUACUAAGCCCCAGGCCGCAUCGUAAGUGACAUGGCCCGCUCAUGCGCACAUCCGGCCCUUUCUCUUCAUUAUCUUGACAUAGUUAACUGUACUAUUACAGUCCGGCCCGCGACCUUAUCCAGCGAUCCUCAUCUGGAGGUUCGUUGGCUCCGUCGGAGAUGGCGAGCAUGUCGCCGCCGCCUGAUUAUUCCCCCGGGGCCAGGGACGACACCGAAGUGUUGUCCCGGAGGACCGCUCCGAACCGGGGAGGAGCCCAAGACGCUGUCUGGGAGGCGCCACAAGCCGAGACCUCCACUACCGGACACAUGGGGGAGCAGAUCCCCAUGGAGACUGGCGGAGAGGGCCACAUCCAGUUCGGCCCUCAGCCGAAUACGAUUUCGGAGAUCCAUAUGGCUCCGGAGUCGGGCGAGCAGCCCGCUUUGAAGGAGGGGGGUGCGCCGCUUCCACCGGUGGCCCCUGUCCAUCCAGGGGCGCCGGAUAACCUGAUGGAGGCGCUACAAGGCGCCUCCGUCGUGGACGAGCACCGUGUCCUUAUGGAUGCGGUGAUCGAGAAGGUUCAGUCCGCCAAGAGUGGACUGAAUGAAGCCUGCAGCAACCUGCUGAUAGGUUUCAAGGUAAGAAAGAGAAAAACCCCGUGUAGACAGUAGCCCCUGAGACACUGUCCGGUGUUCGGCGAGAAGAACCUGAUAGAGGAUCAAUCUUUUGUCAUAGGAGACUGACUUAAUAUGUAUGAAUAAGUAGGCGUCACUGUUGGCCGCAACCUCGCAUACUGCCGAAGUCUCUGAACUGAAGCAGAGGCUGGAGCGGAACGAAAACGAGCUCGGCGAGGUUAGGGUGCGGCUCCGGGAGAAGCAAGGUGAGUGACGACUUGCUGUGUGUUCGGAAGGAGUAGGCGUUGUAUAUUGACCGCGGUGUCGUAAUAUAUGCAGGAGCCGCGACCGAGGUCGAGGCCCUGAGGAAGGCCCUGUGCGAGGCCGAGGAGAAGGUUGUCCAGCAGCAAGUCGCCCGUAAGAAGCUCAAGGCCCGGGUCAAAGAAGUCCAGCAGGAGCUCCAGGAUGCGGUGAAAAAAUGCGAGGCCUUGGAGCAUGAUGCGUCGGUUCAAGGGGCCGAACUCGCCAAGGCUCGUCAGAGCGCGGAGACUGCACGGAAUGAGGCCCAGGCCGCCCUCCAGGAGAUCCAGGAGGCCAAGAAGAUCACGGCGGGUAAGGCAUUUAAGAUGCAAAGCAAGUAUGCGAAGAAGCAGUACCUUUUACUAACCCGGGUUCGGAGUUCCCCAGGGGCUUUUGCGGAUUUACCACGCAGUGUAUCAGACGCCGCGGAGUUCUAUCGGGCCGAAGGAAGGGGUUCUACAGAGAAGCUAUUCUGGUCGCAGUAUGCGAUGCCAGAGCAUCCUGUGUCCUUCACCGAUCAGCUGAAACAGCUGGUGGAGCUGCAUAGGGUGGCCGAACUAGCCUUUAAGGAUGUGAUAAUCCGGCUAUGGCCAUCCGAAGCUAUGCCAGGCAGCUACUUCGGACUCAUGAGGCGGAUGGUGAACGCCUAUCCUCGGCUGGACGUCGUCAAGUGCUCGGCCUGUAUUGAAGGUGCGUGCAUGGCCUUCGCCCGUUGCAAGAUGUGGUGGGCGAAGAUGGACGCCAUCAAGAUGACCAGAGGGCCACCGAAGGGCAAGGAGCACCGCACACCUGAACGGUAUUUUGCGGAUGUCCUAGAGGGGUCUCGCCUUGCGGCAGCACAAUGUUCGCAGGACAUUGUAUUUGAAUAAAUGUAUUCAUGUUGCCUUUGACUUGUAUUAUGAAAACAAAGCCUGUUUUAUAAUGUAAUUUUGUUAUGCUUUAAUUGUUUCCUCAUGUGCGGCCAUGCUGUAUGUAAUCUGAGGGUUGGCCAGUCGUCGGCUUCUGCCCUCACGUAGGUAGUACGGAGGUGUUCGGGAUGGAAUCUAAACAAUCUUGAUCCAAUUAUAUGGUCCCUGAAGGAGUUGUUUAGCGCAACGAACAAGGCAAUCAGACUAUACGGCUUAAAUGCCCUCACUUAGCCAUAGGAGUUUUAUAAUAAAGCAUGGGUGCAGCCCCUAGUUUAGGCCAGGGUGCUGUCAGCAUCUGAUCGGGAAGUGCCGAUCUUUCGCAUAAUGCGGAAAAAAUCUCCUACGAUUUGUAACCCUCGAACAGUUGACCGGCUCUCGCCGUAUCAUGACAGUCAGCUUUCGGCUUUCUCUACUGAGGUGCUCAUCUGGUCAAGGCCAGGGCACAAUCGCAGUACUUCUCCCUUUACUACCCUAGCCGAUUCAGCGGAACAUAUGGUAGCAAGCACAGGAGCCGGGCAAACCAACUAUUGACCAAAGACAUGAUUCGAAGCCAAUGCAUAUAAUGCUAAAUUCGGGGUGCCGAACUUUUCUAUAAGAAGUGUUCGGACUUUGCUGCCGUAUUAUGGGGUGAUAGGGAGCCCUUGGCGAAUAUGAGACGUACCAAAUUGUACAGAUGCGGUUGAUAAGCAAAUCGAAAUAAAAUGAAGUAAGAAGCGAAAACCACGGAAGCUGAGCCGCAAACCAUUUUCAUUAUAUGGCUCCGUCAAGGCGUGUCUUGUAUAAAUAGUGCGAUAAGCAUCCGGGCUAUUUAACAUGCCGGAAUCAAGAGGGCGCAGCGUGUGGGUCCUGAGAAAUAAGUAGAAAUACCGUCAAGAAGAACGUAUAGAGGUUACCCUACACACCUAUGCUGCUUGCCGUCCUUGUAUGUCGAUCCUUCGAAAGGACUGGUGAUCAGGCCUGCGGGAAAAGGAACCUGAAACAAAUAAAAAGAAAAAUGGGGAAAGUACGUGUGAGUCCGGGGUCGGUCAAGCCGUACUGUGGACCACAAGCUGUGCCUCCGUCGAUGCCCAUGGGAUUUUGAGUGCGUAAUUAUGUGCGCGUGGUACGAGUGCCACUACUUGAUCAGGGUUGGGAUGGAGGCCGAAUUGCUAGUCAAGCUCUUGACGAGCCGAGUUGUCCUAUUGCAGCAUAGCCCAGACCUUCUUAACGGUGUCCAGGGGCUCGGCAGCCGGAUUACGGUUCUGCUUGAAAAGGCCGCUCUGCUGCUAGGGCGGCGGUGUGCUCCUCUGUAUGGAGGGAGCGUUCCGUAUUUCCAUUGACUGUUAUGACACCGCAUGGACUGGGCAUUUUAAGCUUGAGAUAAGCAUAGUGUGGCACCGCGUUGAAUCUAGCGAACGCGGUUCGUCCGAGCAGUGCGUGGUAGCAGCUGCGGAAGGGGACGAUAUCUAAGAUUAGCUCUUCGCUUCGGAAGUUGUCCGGAGAACCGAAGACAACCUCUAGUGUGAUUGAGCCCGUACAACGGGCCUCUACGCAUGGUAUGACUCCUUUAAAGGUAGUCUUUGUUGGUUUGAUCCAUGAGGGAUUAAUACCCAUUUUGCGCACUGUAUCCUGAUAGAGCAGGUUGAGGCUGCUACCACCGUCCAUUAGGACUCGUGUCAGAUGAAAUCCGUCGAUGGUUGGGUCGAGGACCAAUGCCGCCGAACCGCCGUGACGGAUACUAGUUGGAUGAUCUGGUCGAUCGAAGGUGAUCGGGAAUGACGACCAUGGAUUGAAUUUGGGGGCGACUGGCUCUACCGCGUAGAUGUCCCUGAGUGCGCGCUUGUGCUCCCUUUUGGGAAUGUGUGUAACAUAUAUCAUGUUCACUGUUUUGACUUGAGGGGGAAACUUCUUCCGCCCCCCAGUGUUCGGUUGCCGGGGCUCUUCGUCAUCGUCCUCACUUUGUGAUCCCUUUUCCUUGUUCUCGGCAUUUAACUUGCCGGCCUGCUUAAAAACCCAACAAUCUCUGUUGGUAUGGUUGGCUUGUUUGUCUGGGGUGCCAUGUAUCUGGCACGGACGGUCGAGUAUGCGGUCCAAGCUGGAUGGUCCCUCGCUGUUCCUUUUGUAAGUCUUCUUCCGCUGGCCGGACAUGGAACCACUGAAUCCGGCAUGAACCGUAGUGUCAUCGGUGUUAUCACCAUUGCUUCGGCAUUUGUGUCUAUUGCACCGGAGUUUGCCGGUGCUGCUUUUGGCCUCGGAGGGGCCUGCCUUGUUGGCCGUGUUUUUACUACGAGCCAGUCAACUAUCUUCACCCACACAAAAGCGGGUCAUGAGUGUCGUAAGGGCUGCCAUGGAUUUCGGCUUUUCCUGGCCGAGGUGGCGGGCGAGCCAUUCGUCACGGAUGCUGUGUUUGAAGGCCGCUAGGGCUUCUGCAUCCGGACAGUCAACGAUCUGGUUCUUUUUGGUUAGGAACCUAGUCCAGAAUUUUCUGGCUGACUCUCCAGGUUGUUGAACUAUAUGACUUAGGUCAUCGGCGUCUGGUGGCCGGACAUAAGUGCCUUGGAAGUUGUCAAGAAAAGCUUCUUCCAAGUCCUCCCAGCUGCCGAUGGAAUUUUCAGGCAGGCUGUUUUACCCGUGUCUGGCUGGCCCUUUGAGCUUUAGAGGAAGGUAUUUGAUGGCGUGGAGAUCGUCUUCUCGGGCCAUAUGGAUGUGGAGGAUGAAAUCCUCGAUCCAUACUACGGGAUCGGUUGUUCCGUCGUAUGAUUCAAUAUUGAUGGGCUUGAAACCCUCGGGAAAUUCAUGAUCCAGUACUUCAUCUGUGAAGCAGAGGGGGUGUGCGGCACCUCUAUAUCGGACCACAUCGCGACGUAGCUCUGAUGGAGUCCGCCUGCGGCAUUCGGCCCGGGCGUGGUUAGGUUUAUCACGUCCAAAUAGGUAGCUGUCGUCGUGUCUCGAGGCACGUCCUCACGAUCUGUAGAUCGAUCAUGUAUGUCCUGCUCUACUGUCCAGGGUCUGCCGGAGGUCGUACGUGUGACCCCGAAUUGUUCCGCUUCUGUUUUUACGGGGCGGUGGGGCAGGCUGCUGCUCGGCCUGAGUUGCCGCUUUAUCCCGACCGUGGGGUGGUCGGUCCGCCGCACAGUCUCGACCACGUGGUGGUCGUUCCGCAUUGCGCGAGGGAGAUAUGGGCUCAGGCGCCUCCUCAUCGAACUGAGGUAGCAGUCUGCGUUUCGGGUAGCUCUUGGCUGGGCGCUUGAGGCCAUAUUCUUCGGCUGUCAGGACAUCAGUCCAUCUAUCGAUGAGCAGAUCUUGUUCAGCUUGAAGCUGCUGCUGUUUCUUUUUCAGGCUCCUUGCGGUGGCUAUGAGCUGAAGCUUAAAGUGCUCCUGCUCCAGGGGAUCCUCAGGCACGAUGAAGUCUUCGUUGCCGAGGCUCGUCUCCUCCUUGGAGGGCGGACGGUAACUAUCGUCCUUCGAGUCUUCUUCUAUGUCAUGUUCGUCUGGGCUGGCAUGCCAUGAUUCCCGAUUGUCUCGUUCGGCGGUUUGUUCAUCGGGUUCUUCUGUGUCCUCGGCACCAUCCGGAGUGUUCUCGUCUCCUGUGCCGGUGUUGCUAUCCCUGCUGCGGCGGGACUUAGAGUGGCGCCGCUGACGACGGCGCUUUGGUUGUGUUUUAGGAGGGUCCUCCUUGGCCGGAUUUUCCUUGUCAUCGCCGCUAUUUUUCGACGUGUCUACCAUGUAGACGUCAUAUGAGGAGGUGGCCGUCCAUCGUCCAGUGAAUGGCGGGUCCUGGCCUUGCUCCUUGUCGGCAUCGUCGUCCAUACCGUCGAUGUCUUCGGAGCCAUAAUCAAGCUCAUCGAUUAAGUCAUCGACAGUGGCUAUGAAGUGGGUGGCAGGUGGGAAGCUGAAUUCUCCAUCCUCAGCCCCUAGUUCGAACCGGACAUAGUUCGGCUGUGAGUUCCCCGCCAAGGACAGGUUCUUGAAAGAGUUUAGCACAUUUCCCAAAGGUGAGUGCUGAAAGAUGUCUGCGACGCUGAAUUCGAAGAUCGAUAAACGAUCAAGUUCAGCGUCCGCGGGCGUACGCAGUUCGGAACUUAUAGCCGGAUCUGACAUGGACGGUCGAGUAUGCAGUCCAAGCUGGAUGAGCCCAGAUUGCUUUUAUAUGGCUUCUUCCACUGGCCGGACUUGGAGCCACUGAAUCCGGCGUUGACUGCCGUGUCAUCGGUAUUGUGACCAUUGCUUCGACGCUUGUGUCUGUUGCGUCGGCUUGCCGUUGCUAUUUCUGGCUUCAGAAGUGCCAGGUUCGCUUGUACUGUUAUUGCUACGGGCUAGCCAGCUAUCUUCGCCCGCGCAAAAGCGGGUCAUAAGCGCCGUGAGGGCUACCAUGGACUUCGGCUUUUCUUGGCCGAGGUGUCGGGCGAGCCAUUCGUCGCGGAUGCUAUGUUUAAAGGCCGCUAGGGCUUCGGCUUCCCGACAGUCGACGAUCUGGUUCUUUUUAGUUAAGAACCUAGUCCAGAAUUUCCUGGCUGACUCUCCAGGCUGUUGAACUAUGUGACUUAAGUUGUCGGCAUCUGGAGGUUGGACAUAUGUACCUUGGAAGUUGCCGAGGAAGGCAUCCUCCAAUUCCUCCAAGCUGCCAAUUGAGUUUUCGGGCAGACUGUUCAACCAGUGUCGAGCUGGUCCCUUGAGUUUUAGCGGGAGGUAUUUGAUGGCAUGAAGAUCAUCACCGCGGGCCAUGUGAAUAUGGAGAAGAAAAUCCUCGAUCCAUACCGCGGGGUCUGUUGUCCCAUCAUAUGAUUUGAUGUUCACGGGUUUAAACCCUUCUGGGAAUUCGUGUUCCAUGACUUCAUCAGUGAAGCAAAGGGGGUGUGCGGCGCCUCUAUAUCGGGCCAAGUCGCGGCGUAGCUCGGAUGGAGUUCGUCUGCGGUUUUCAGCCCGGGCGUGGUUAUGUUUGUCACGUCCGGCCAGGUGGCCGUCGUCGCGCAUCGGGGCACGCCCCCGCGAUCCGUAGAUCGAUAUGGUCUGACCUGCUCUGUUCUCCAGGUCCUGCCGCAGGUCAUAUGUGUAUCCCCAAGCUGCUUUAUCUCUGCCUUUACGGUGAGGUAGUACGGGCUGGUGUUCAGCUUGAGUUGCCACUUUGUCCCGACCACGUGGUGGUCGAUCAGCUGCAUUACACGCUGAUGGUACGGGCCCAAGUGCCUCGUCGUCGAAUUGAGGUAGCAAUUUGCGCUUUGGGUAACUUUUGGUUGGGCGCUCGAGGACGUAUUCCUCGGCUGCCAGGACAUUAGUCCAUCUAUCGUUGAGCAGAUCUUGAUCAGCUUGAAGCUGUUGCUGCUUCUUUUUCAGGCUCCUUGCAGUGGCUAUUAGCUGGCGCUUGAAGCGCUCCUGCUCGAGAGGUUCCUCAGGCAUGAUAAAAUCCUCGUUGCCGAGGAUCACCUCAUCCUCGGAGAGCGGAAGGUAGUUACUGUCCUCCGAGUCUUUGUUUACAGCCUGUUCAUCAGGGCUGACUCGCCCAUCUUCCCGCUCGUCUUGUUCGGAGGUUGGCUUAACGGGGUCUUCAUUGUCUUCGGCAUCGUCUAGAGUAUUGUUUUCUCCUGUGCCGGUAUUGUUGUCUUUUCCGCGGCGUGGCUUAGAGCAGCGCUGCUGACGUUAGCACUUUGGCUGUAUCUUAGGUGGCUUGUCCUCGACUGGAUCUUCCUUGUCAUCGCCGCUAUUCUCUUUGGGUGUAUCCACCAUGUACGCAUCAUACGAAGAGGUGGCCGUCCAGCGUCCGGUAAACGGCGGGUUUUGGGCCUGUUCUUCUCCGGCAUCAUCGUCCAUACCGUCGAUGUCUUCGGAGCCGUAAUUGAGCAUGUUGGUUAAGUCCUCGACAGUGGCUAUAAAGUGGGUGGUGGGUGGGACGUAAAAUUCCUUGCUCUCAGCCCCUAGUCCGGGUUGGGCAUAGUUCGAACGUUGCUUCUUUGUAAUGACAAGGGAUCGUAUUAAGUCGAGAGCCUCGCUUAAAGGCGAGGUUUGGCCCGAGAGAAGAGAGCACGUGGAGUACGACGAGAGGGAAACUCCUUGGCCGAACUCACAUGAUGCUGGUUCCGAGGAUUCGGAGCCAGUGUCCGGAGAAGGGUCCGGCUCCGUGAUGGCUGCCAGCGAUACUACUUCCCCCGGCCCUCCCACAAUGGGCCUAAUGGCCGCUGAUAGUCCGGCGAGCUCAGGGAGCCCGUCUUUGGACCUGGCGAUACGCUCCGGAUCUAAGGCCAGAGCAGAGGUUGAGGGCGCGAAUCCUUGGAAGAUCAAGUCUCCUCGGAUAUCAGCGACGUAGUCCAGAUUUCCAAAACCAAUCUGGUGUCCUGGGGCGUAGCUGUCGAUCUGCUCUAGAUGGCCAAGCGAGUUGGCCCGCAGUGCGAAGCCGCCAAACACAAAGAUCAGGCCGGGGAGGAAAGCCUCCCCCAAGGCAGCGUUGUUUUAGAUGAUUGAUGGAGCCAUCGAACCUUUUGGUGACGACGCAGCGGAACUCUCAAUGAAAGCACCAAUGUCGGUGUCAAGACUGGUGGAUCUCAGGUAGGGGGUCCCCAACUGUGCGUCUAAGGUCAAUGGUAACACGAGACGGGGGACACGAUGUUUCCCCAGGUUCGGGCCCUCUCUAUGGAGGUAGUACCCUACUUCCUGCUUGAUUGAUCUUGAUGAAUAUGAGUAUUACAAGAGUUGAUCUACCACGAGAUCGUAAUGGCUAAAACCCUAGAAGUCUAGCCUAUAUGAUUAUGAUUGCCUCUACGGACUAAACCCUCCAGUUUAUAUAGACACCGGAGGGGACUAGGGUUGUACAAAGUCGGUUACAGAGAAAGGAAUCUUCAUAUCCGAACGCCAAGCUUGUCGUCCACGCCAAGGAGAGUCCCAUCCGGACACGGGAGAAAGUCUUUUGUCUCGUACCUUCACGGCCCAUCAGUCCGGCCCACGUUACAUAGUCCGGACGCCCGAGGACCCCUUAAUCCAGGACUCCCUCACCCUCCGUGGUGAUGGGUUGUGGGGGAUGGAUCUGAGGUCCCUGCCCAGAUCCGGUGGAUGGUGGGGUUGGUGUUGGCAGCGGUGGCUGGCGGCCCAGGCGCGGUGGCGGCGAGUCUCGCGGCCUCUGGGCAUCGUGGAGGUGCCGGCGGCGGUGAGUGCUUAGCCUGGUGGUGGCGGCGGCCGUGCACGGGAGUUGGAUUCCUUCGAAUAGAUCUGGGUGAAAACUUGCUUUCGGCUAUUGCCAAGGCCGGCGGUGGCGGCGUUAUCUGCAUCGCUCCCUUCUUGAAGGCAUCGCCGUGGAGAAGUUCAAGGCCACUCUCUGCUACCUCUGAGGAAAACCCUAGAUCGGAUGAUCGGAUGACGGCGGCGAUCUAGUGUCGUUCCCCCUUUGGGCGUCAUUCUUGGAGGUGCACACGUGAUCGAGGGACUAGAGGAUGGAUUCUUUGGUGGACGGUGCUUCAUCUCACUCAUGAUGGCGGCGGAUCUCGGCGGCAUGGCGCUAUGGUGACUCGGCGUCCGAUGCGCGGAGAUGGACUCGCGCAGGAGGGUGACGCGGUCUGGCGUCGUGGUGGCAUCGACGGCAGCUAGACCGGACAAGGUAGAUGCAGCAGUAUAGUUCAGAAGAUGGAUUGGUGGCAGGUGGCUGCGGCGGCCUCAUACCCGGCAGGCGUCCUGGUUGAGGAGUGCGACGGAUGCCCCAUACCCGGCAAGCGUCCUGGAUGGGACCUCAGGUCUUAGAUGGUAGGUUUGGCUGCGAGGUAUGUUUGGUAUUAAGCCCAGACUAUCCGCAUCCCUUCAUCAAUUGGAUAGGAGUAGCGACAGAUGUUGCCUAGAUGGUGGCUUUAGUCUUACUGUUGUACUUGCUUUGUAAGGUCUUGUGUGAAUAAUUAAUAAAAUGGAUGCAUGCAUCGUUCAGAUGCAGAGGCCGGGGGUCUUCCUCCAUUUCUAAAAAAACCCUUGAGAUAUUCUAGCGGUGCCACAAUCUCGUUUCUCCAAACCCGAUGAACGCCUGCUAAUUUGUCCAUGUCGCAAAAGGCUACAGAAUGAAGAUGACUAACUUAUACGAGCAAAGUCACCCUCGAAUGAACGUUUUUUUAUUGAGGGAACGUGCCCCUGCAACGCAACUAGGAUCAGAUCGCACGAGGCGAUCAGGAGGCGACGAGGACCUUGCGCGCCGCCGGUGACGCCUCCGGUUCCCUCUCUCUCUGUCGGCCGCUCCGGCGGCGGGAGGGAGAGGGAACCUCGGGUCUGUUUGCUAGGUGGGUGUGUGGUAGGGUUAGGGUUGAGGAAGACGCUACCGAGGCCGUUGCGGUGGUGUCGCGUCGGAAUAAGUUUCUCCGGGCUCCGUUCGCGGUCAGGCGAGGCUUUUGCCUUCGACUAGGAGUCAGCGGGGUUGGGGAUCCCCGGGUCUCGUCGAGGUCGCGGGCUUUGGUGGCUGGAGGUCCAUCGGCACUGGCCGUUUGGGUCCUCAGAUGGGCGAUGGAUUCAGGGAGACAAAGAUCCUUCUUUUUCCCUGUUGGUAUUAUUUGCUGAUGUUGUUCUUCUCCUUCCUCUGUGCUGAUGCUGGUGGGAGAUCCUGCUUUGUCCGGACGGAUGGCCUGGUCGCCGUGCUGGACCUGUCGGAUGACUCGAGUUCUCUUCCCUCCGGAAGGGACACUUUUCGCGGUACUCAAAGCCAAAGAUGGCGACGGCUAUUGCACGUGUGUUGGAUUGAUGUCCAUGCCCUCUCAGCGCUGGUGUCAAGAAAAGAGGAAGCAACGUAGCGGCAAUUGUACCAUGGUCGAAGAUGAUGACCUGCUUGCGACUGGUUGCAGAUCCUUCUGCUGCAGGGGUCUUCUCUCAAGAUUCAGGGAUGAUGACACAGGGCUCCGGAGAUCUUUUUGUGUUAUAGUUGUCUUAGGGUACUCUAGGUGUUCAUGGUCCUUUGUGUUUGCGUUUCAGUGUGCUUGUAAGGGUCAACUUCUUUGUACUGAUUCGUGAUAUGAAUGAAAAAAUUCUAAAAAAAAAAGCCACCCCCGAAUGGGCCAUCCAAUGGACCGACCCAAUAGACUGCCCUAUCGACGUCUGGGUUACGCAAGACAGGUCCAAGGCCAGACCAGGCCGACCUAUUUCCAUAUUUACUGAACAGGGGUAUGAUUUUCAAUCCAUGCAUAUUUUCAUGGACAGGAAAUGAACAUCCAUUAGGCGUAAAUAUGAAUUUGAUAUUACUCGACCAUGUAUACCUGACCCAUUGCCACUCCGAUGAAAAACACUAGCUGCAAAAAAAAAAAAUCAAUCUCCUCUCCCCUCCAUUGCAGCCAUCGCUCCAGUGUCGUAAGGCGGAGGGGCGUCGAUUCCUUUCUCGGUGGUGCUUGGUGUGGUGUUGCUAAGGAGCCCGAAAGAUUUUAUCCUUGUUGUUCUUCAUGGAUAACGGGUUGGUUAUGUGUGCCUACAUGGCUACAUCGACAGGGUUCCAUGUGCAUCCGUGACUUCGACAACCUCUGACUUCAAACUUUUGCGAUGACGAUAGCCUCCUCCUCCUACUGUCGUUACACUAUAUAUAGUUGCUCCGAUCUUGUAUGGAUUGAUCCAAUGUAAAUUUAAUUUAAUUUCUGGAAAAACUGACACGUUAGUACCAUCCUUUAAUACUAAAAAUAUGUUUGGCCUAUUUUCUUCCUUUUUCAUUCCAUGCCGACACUUUCAGCUUUCAUUUUCCGAAGCAAACAUGACAGACUUUUGCUAGCGGAAAGAACGUGUUUCAGGGACUGUGUAUCCCCCGUGUGUCGUCGCUUCUACCUUGAGAACAAGCUGAGACGUGGCAUCCCGGACGCGUCCAGUAGCUGCACACGUCCGGCCUCUCUUAAUUGGCGAGUCACUAGUCACCGGCUCCCACCGGCCAACCCACUCAUGCAAGCACACGUAGCGCCUCCGGCGAUCCUAUCCCCUCGCCGCAAACGGCUUAUAAAUUGCGCCUCGUGCUGGACCUGCUUCCGCAACCACGAGCUGCAGACUAACUGAGGAAGACAACACACCAGAUUUCUGAGAUAAUCAAGAUCAACACCUGUGCAACAUGGAGCACGGCCAGGCGACGACUAACCGCGUCGACGAGUACGGCAACCCGGUGGCCGGACAUGGCGUCGGCACCGGCGCCGGCGCGGCUCACAAGACCGGAGGGAUCCUGCAGCGCUCCGGCAGCUCUAGUAGCUCCAGCUCGGUGCGUGUACAUAUACUUGUUGCUUCUUGCUAACACUAGUUGUAAUUUUUGCAUUUUUCUCGUGUACAUUUUGUAUGAAACAAUAAAUCAAUUGUCUGAUUUUUCUUCUUCCUGGUGCUAGUCUGAGGAUGAUGGCAUGGGUGGGAGGAGGAAGAAGGGCAUCAAGCAGAAGAUAAAGGAGAAGCUCCCUGGUGACCACGGUGACCAGCAGCAGACCGCUGGCACCUACGGCCAGCAGGGACACACCGGAAUGACCGGCACUGGGGCGCAUGGCACCACGGCCACUGGCGGCAC
rnacentral:lncRNA from 1 species